AGAGUUUGAUCAUGGCUCAGGACGAACGCUGGCGGCGUGCCUAAUACAUGCAAGUCGAGCGCGGGAAGCAGGACUGAUCCCUUCGGGGUGACGACCUGUGGAACGAGCGGCGGAUGGGUGAGUAACACGUGGGUAACCUACCUGUAAGCUCGGGAUAACCCAAGGAAACUUGGGCUAAUACCGGAUAAAGCUACUUAUCGCAUGAUAAGUAGAUGAAAGAUGGCUCUGCUAUCACUUACAGAUGGACCCGUGGCGCAUUAGCUAGUUGGUGGGAUAAAAGCUCACCAAGGCAACGAUGCGUAGCCGACCUGAGAGGGUGAUCGGCCACACUGGGACUGAGACACGGCCCAGACUCCUACGGGAGGCAGCAGUAGGGAAUCUUCCGCAAUGGACGCAAGUCUGACGGAGCGACGCCGCGUGAGCGAUGAAGGUCUUCGGAUCGUAAAGCUCUGUUGUUAGGGAAGAACAAGUAUCGGAGUAACUGCCGGUACCCUGACGGUACCUAACCAGAAAGCCCCGGCUAACUACGUGCCAGCAGCCGCGGUAAUACGUAGGGGGCAAGCGUUGUCCGGAAUUAUUGGGCGUAAAGGGCGCGCAGGCGGUUAUUUAAGUCUGAUGUGAAAUCUUGUGGCUUAACCACAAGCGGUCAUUGGAAACUGAAUAACUUGAGUGCAGAAGAGGAGAGUGGAAUUCCACGUGUAGCGGUGAAAUGCGUAGAGAUGUGGAGGAACACCAGUGGCGAAAGCGGCUCUCUGGUCUGCAACUGACGCUGAGGCGCGAAAGCGUGGGUAGCGAACAGGAUUAGAUACCCUGGUAGUCCACGCCGUAAACGAUGAGUGCUAGUGUUAGGGGUUUCCGCCCCUUAGUGCUGGAGUUAACGCAUUAAGCACUCCGCCUGGGGAGUACGGCCGCAAGGCUGAAACUCAAAUGAAUUGACGG
rnacentral:rRNA from 1 species